UACGUAGGGUGCGAGCGUUGUCCGGAAUUACUGGGCGUAAAGAGCUCGUAGGCGGUGUGUCACGUCGGCCGUGAAAACCUGCAGCUUAACUGUGGGCGUGCGGUCGAUACGGGCAUCACUGGAGUUCGGCAGGGGAGACUGGAAUUCCUGGUGUAGCGGUGAAAUGCGCAGAUAUCAGGAGGAACACCGGUGGCGAAGGCAGGUCUCUGGGCCGAUACUGACGCUGAGGAGCGAAAGCGUGGGGAGCGAACAGG
rnacentral:rRNA from 1 species